CUACGGGAUGCUCCAGUGGGGAAUAUUGCACAAUGGGCGCAAGCCUGAUGCAGCCAUGCCGCGUGUAUGAAGAAGGCCUUCGGGUUGUAAAGUACUUUCAGCGGGGAGGAAGGGAGUAAAGUUAAUACCUUUGCUCAUUGACGUUACCCGCAGAAGAAGCACCGGCCAACUCCGUGCCAGCAGCCGCGGUAAUACGGAGGGUGCAAGCGUUAAUCGGAAUUACUGGGCGUAAAGCGCACGCAGGCGGUUUGUUAAGUCAGAUGUGAAAUCCCCGGGCUCAACCUGGGAACUGCAUCUGAUACUGGCAAGCUUGAGUCUCGUAGAGGGGGGUAGAAUUCCAGGUGUAGCGGUGAAAUGCGUAGAGAUCUGGAGGAAUACCGGUGGCGAAGGCGGCCCCCUGGACGAAGACUGACGCUCAGGUGCGAAAGCGUGGGGAGCAAACAGGAUUAGAUACCCCAGUAGUC
rnacentral:rRNA from 1 species